AUUGCUUCUUAGCAUUUUGUCUAAGAUCAAGUAUAGUAUCUGUUCUUAUCAGUUUAAUAUAUGAUAUGUCCUCUACCUUAGGACAAUACAUAAAAUGGAUUUUUAGAGUAUGGAGUUGGAAUAGGAACUUGCUGCAUCCACUGGUGCAUCAACCUGGUAUUGCAGUACCUCCAGAAAUGAUGCACCCCUU